GCUGCUCUAUAAAUAAUCACACACCUCUCCGCGGUGAGCAGCAGGCAACGAUAUUAUGAUCGGCUGAGAUGUGAUA
rnacentral:ribozyme from 1 species